rnacentral:lncRNA from 1 species
UCCCCUACCCAAGGACAGAACACCUGUAAUAGAAGAUGAUGGAGACACGUGGCAACUGGUUUCUUGGAGGGGACAGAGGAUUCUAACUUGCUAUUUUGUUUUCUGACUCUGCCAAGCCUUCCGUGUCAGAGCCGUGCUCCCACCACCGUGCUCCCAAGUAUUUCACAGCUCCCUCUCCUCUAUCUCCCUCACGUGCCCAGGCUCUAGGGACACCCAGCUCGCUGCAGAACUCAUCAUCCCUGCGACCAGUUCCCUGCCUCAGAGUACAGAAAGUAAGUGGCUGGCUCAAAACAAGAAACAGGGCCAGCGAUGCUCUCUGCCAAGCAUCCUAGGACUGGAGGCAAAAACUCGCUGCCACACUCACCCCAGAAUAGGGAGCAGCUGAACAAUCUAGUAGCUGAUAACCCAAGGACCCUCCCAGUAGGCUGCCUUCCUACCAGGCUAGCCCAGGUCCAGAUGCAUCAGAUUUACAAGAUGGACCCAGAGAGUGACCUUCAGUCACUGCAAGAGCCGAAGACAAAGAGGCUAAGGGGCCAUAAAGCUGUGCUGUGUCUCACUUGAUCUUGAACAGUCUUACGUUGACCUUGUGCCCUCCCGGCUCAGCCUCUGUCUCCACCUCUGCUAAGUGCUCCAGGACUAAAGGAAAGAUCUGGAGAGCUGGAGCCCUGUGAGUGAAAUGGUGAGAUGCCAAAGAAGAGAGGGAGGUCUGAGCAGCCCCCGAAUUCACACCCGAUGCCACCUUCUGAACCAUGCCACUAAAUGAUAAGUUAAACA